rnacentral:rRNA from 1 species
UACGGAAGGGGCAAGCGUUGUUCGGAAUCAUUGGGCGUAAAGGGCGCGUAGGUGGUUCUGUAUGUCUAUCGUGAAAGCGUACGGCUCAACCGUAUUUUGUCGGUAGAAACUGCAGGACUUGAGGCUGGGAGGGGCUGGUGGAAUUCCCUGUGUAGCGGUGAAAUGCGUAGAGAUCUGGAGGAACACCGAUGGCGAAGGCAGCCCCCUGGGCUAACAGCUGACGCUCAUGCCACGAAAGCGUGGGGGAGCAAACAGGG